rnacentral:lncRNA from 1 species
UGGCAUAAAUUGUGGCAUAUACCAAUACCUCAUUGUUGCCAUUGCUUUGUGAAGAUAACAAAGAAAAAAUAAAAGAAAAAAAGAAAUCUAGGGUUCAUGUCUUUAUUCAAACCAUUGUCGAUGAACAAACAAACGAUGGAGGCGAAUAGUAGCUGAAACAAAACUCCAAAGCAUCAUGGAUUUCGGUGAGUUUUCUUAAGCCAUCUGAUUUGCUAGAUCGAAAUGGGUACCGCCUCUUCCUGCUUCUUCUUCACGCAUCUUUUUCUCUUUGUCUGGGUUUUUUGAAGCUAUCUGAUUUUCUGGAUCGAAAUUGGGUUCCGAUUUGCUGGUUCUUUUUCUCUAUUUACUGUUUCUGGGGAUCUGGUGUUGGGUUUCAUUUUCUGAUUUGCUGAAACGCAAACCCUCUCACUUUUCUCGUUGAUUCAAGUUGCAGAUACCAAAAAAUUAAAGUAUAUGGUUUGUCUAUCAUCCCUUUGUGUGCGUCUCUAUGUAUUUGGUGUUCUCCUUCUAUUUGUUUCUUUUAUUUUUAGCGCAUAUAAGGUUUGGUGAUGAUGGUUGUGUAUCAAGUGGUUAUAAGGUGGUUUUAUGGUGAUGAAUUGAAGUUGUAAUCAGAUAAUCAAGGAAGGAGAUGGAACGGUGACGAAGGGGGUGGCAUUGAUUUUUGUGAGCUCAUUAUUGAUUUUCUAUAUGAGGUUUGUAAUUGUAUAUUUAUAAAACUGAAAUUCUAUUGUAUGCAUUAGUGAUUUUAUGGUGUGUUUUAACUUUCGUUGUGUAUCUGUGUAGCUUGAGUUGCAGGUAAAGUUGUAACAAGAUGGAGAUGGUGAUGAGUUUUUUUGUUGACCGAUGUGUUUUGUGUUUAUGAGAGAGAGAGAGAGAGAGGCGUGGGCCCCAUAAUUUUUAUUAAUAAAACUUUAAAUUAAAUAGCAAAAAAACAUAAAAAAAGAAUAUAUCAAAAAGGCAUUUUAGUCUUUUCAGUUUUCUGAGGGACCAAAAACGCAACAAAACUAGUUUAAAAGGAUCAUCAAUCCAAAAAAGUUAUGGUUUGGACUAAAAUCCCAAAAAAUACAUACUACAUGAACCAUUUUUGCAAUUUUGUCUAACAAAAAUAAAUAAAUAAAAACAUAAGUAAUAAUAUUUGUUGCAACAAAACUAUCCGAUUGUAAGAAAUUUACUUAUAUACUUGUAGUUAUUUUCUUUUAUUUAUCUAUCUUUAAGAAAAUCUACGUACACACUCGAUAACCAUAACCGAAUGAAGUUUAAAACAACAUAAAAUAUUCAGAACUAUCCUUUAUAACAUGUAAUAAUUUUAACUGUGUUUAUAACAUGUAAUAAUUCUAACUAUUAGUAUCACAGAGUCAUUUCUAAGACCAUCUUCAACCCAUCUUCAUUUUUUCCUCCAUAAAUAGAGUAAAGAAUGGACUAAAUAGUGUUUCAUCUCCAACCCUACUUCAUUUUUUACCCCAAAAAAUAUAUUCCUAAAAUAUUCCAUUUUAUAACUUAUAUAUAUUAUGAAAUACACCCCUCUAUUG